UACGUAGGGUCCGAGCGUUGUCCGGAAUUACUGGGCGUAAAGAGCUCGUAGGUGGUUUGUCGCGUUGUUCGUGAAAACUCACAGCUUAACUGUGGGCGUGCGGGCGAUACGGGCAGACUUGAGUACUGCAGGGGAGACUGGAAUUCCUGGUGUAGCGGUGGAAUGCGCAGAUAUCAGGAGGAACACCGGUGGCGAAGGCGGGUCUCUGGGCAGUAACUGACGCUGAGGAGCGAAAGCAUGGGGAGCGAACAGG
rnacentral:rRNA from 1 species